UCCGGUAUGGUGUAACGGUCAACAUUACCGCUUUUCAAUUUGGAUUACGUAAGCAUUUACGUAAACCAUUACACCAAACCGAAAAGCGCGGUAGCUCGGGGUUCGAUUCCCCGUACCGGAA